rnacentral:rRNA from 1 species
AGUGGGGAAUAUUGGACAAUGGGCGAAAGCCUGAUCCAGCCAUGCCGCGUGUGUGAAGAAGGCCUUCGGGUUGUAAAGCACUUUCAGUGGGGAAGAAAGCCUUGGGGCUAAUACCCUCGAGGAAGGACAUCACCCACAGAAGAAGCACCGGCUAACUCCGUGCCAGCAGCCGCGGUAAUACGGAGGGUGCGAGCGUUAAUCGGAAUUACUGGGCGUAAAGCGCGCGUAGGCGGUCUGAUAAGCCGGUUGUGAAAGCCCCGGGCUCAACCUGGGAACGGCAUCCGGAACUGUCAGGCUAGAGUGCAGGAGAGGAAGGUAGAAUUCCCGGUGUAGCGGUGAAAUGCGUAGAGAUCGGGAGGAAUACCAGUGGCGAAGGCGGCCUUCUGGACUGACACUGACGCUGAGGUGCGAAAGCGUGGGUAGCAAACAGGAUUAGAUACCCUGGUAGUCCACGCCGUAAACGAUGUCGACUAGCCGUUGGGCUCCUUGAGAGCUUUGUGGCGCAGUUAACGCGAUAAGUCGACCGCCUGGGGAGUACGGCCGCAAGGUUA